rnacentral:rRNA from 1 species
UCAAGAGUACGUGAAACUGCUUAGAGGUUAAGCCCGAUGAACCUGAAUAUCCGUUAUGAGAAAUUCAUCACUAGAUAUAUUUUAUUAUCACAAUAAUUUAGAUAUGGUGUGCAAUUUUCUCAUAUAAGGACAUUGUAAUUUGUUAAUGUUUCAUGCGUAUUAAAUGGAUUUAUUCACAAGUUUAUUCACUAUUUGAGUAUUUAUACUUAAAUGGAAUAAUGGAAUUUUUCCGAAUAUGCCAUUGACAAAUUUAUGAUAUACAGCGCUUAAAUUUUCGAAUUUUACAAUAUUGCUUUUACCAUUGGCAUUUGCAAUUAUUGUAUGCGUUUGUAUGAUUAACAAUGCUAUAGAUUCAGGAUACCUUCGGGACCCGUCUUGAAACACGGACCAAGGAGUCUAACAUAUGUGCAAGUCAUUGGGUUUUUAAAACCUAAAGGCGUAAUUAACUUAACUGUUAAUGGGAUCAGUUUACAUUUGUUAUAAAUGUAAAUUCAAUCCCGGGGCGUUCUAUAUAGUUAUGUGUAAUAGUAUUUAUAUUAUUUAUGCCUCUAACUGGAGCGUACCUUGAGCAUAUAUGCUGUGAC